rnacentral:rRNA from 1 species
GCGGUAAGGCCCUUCGGGGUACACGAGCGGCGAACGGGUGAGUAACACGUGGGUAACCUGCCCUGUACUCUGGGAUAAGCCUGGGAAACUAGGUCUAAUACCGGAUAUGACUCCAUUAGGCAUCUUGUGGGGUGGAAAGUUCCGGCGGUACAGGAUGGACCCGCGGCCUAUCAGCUUGUUGGUGGGGUAAUGGCCUACCAAGGCGACGACGGGUAGCCGGCCUGAGAGGGUGACCGGCCACACUGGGACUGAGACACGGCCCAGACUCCUACGGGAGGCAGCAGUGGGGAAUAUUGCACAAUGGGCGAAAGCCUGAUGCAGCGACGCCGCGUGAGGGAUGACGGCCUUCGGGUUGUAAACCUCUUUCAGCAGGGACGAAGCGCAAGUGACGGUACCUGCAGAAGAAGCACCGGCUAACUACGUGCCAGCAGCCGCGGUAAUACGUAGGGUGCGAGCGUUGUCCGGAAUUAUUGGGCGUAAAGAGCUCGUAGGCGGUUUGUUGCGUCGGCUGUGAAAACUUCACGCUUAACGUGGAGCCUGCAGUCGAUACGGGCAGACUUGAGUUCGGCAGGGGAGACUGGAAUUCCUGGUGUAGCGGUGAAAUGCGCAGAUAUCAGGAGGAACACCGGUGGCGAAGGCGGGUCUCUGGGCCGAUACUGACGCUGAGGAGCGAAAGCGUGGGGAGCGAACUAGGAUUAGAUACCUCUGGUAGUCCACGCCGUAAACGGUGGGUGCUAGGUGUGGGGGACUUCCACGUAAUACCGUGCCGCAGCUAACGCAUUAAGC